UGGGGGAGGAGAAGGAAGUGGCCGACUCGAAAGAUAGAGAAGACAGAUAUGACAGCAGCUCAAUGGAAAAGUCAUAGGCGUGGGAGGGUGGGAAAGAGAUCCAGACACACAUACUUGCCGAUCUCUCUUUCCUAUGCCUCCCAUGCCCUUGCCUUUCCCUUUCUCUCUCUACACCAUCCUUCUUCUUCUUCUUCUUCACCUAUACACAUACAGCUCUCUGCUACCACAUGGGAAAUCUCACAGGCUUGGGAGCUUUGGAAAGAAACACACCAUUUAUCUGUGCGUGUUUAAAAGCACGCGCACAUAUCUUUUUUUUCCGACGCCUCCCAUGCCCUUGAGUUUUCCCUUCAUAUUCUCUCCGGUCGAUCUGGAUCUGCAACUUCUUCUUCAGCUCUGUUACGAAAUCUUUUAUAUUUUGUUACUGAGUUAUGGAUCUGUUUCGUCUCGAAUUUUGAUCGGCUUAAGUUGUCAGAUCUGAAUGUUCCUGCCUCUAAUCUGGAGUUCCCUCAUGUGUUUGACUGAUGGCUCACAAAGAAUCGACUAGGAGGUCAUUGAUCUUUAGGAAGCUCUAGUCUUUUGAGCUGCAACAUACUCCAGAAUUUCCCACAGUACUGCAGGAAGAAAUAUAUAUUAUUUACCGUUCUCUCCACGCGUUAGACUUGUUAGAAGUACGUCAAGAAAAAUUUUGGUACUGAGUGAAUGAACUUUAUGGACUGUGCUUAAUUAAGAUGAAUUUUUAAA